rnacentral:lncRNA from 1 species
AUAAGUAUCAUUAUUUAAAAAACACGAUUAUUUAAAGCUAUAUAUUAACACUCUUUUUUUCCUUCCAAAUUUCCUACAAUAAAUACGAGCAUGACAAAGGAAAACCUAAAAGCUAAAACAAAAAACUUUGGUAUAAUCAAAAAUCAGGUAAGUCUAGAAUGUCGUCGGCCCUAUUAAAUAGGUUGUACCAAAAAUCCAUGCCUCCAUCCUCAUUUACAGAUUCCGACAAGCGAAGCGGAGAAUCGGUGACGAAAUCAUCCCCGGACAAAACCUCCGACCAGAAGCUGUCGUCCAUCUCCGGCGGAUUCUCCGACGACACUUCACUAAACGAAUGCAUCGGGGAAUUGGUUGCAUCCUCAUCCGAUGUGGACUCGUUGCGGGCUUCGGGCUCGGCCCGAGAUCUCUUACAAAGCCUUUUCUUCAAGUGUGUGUGCCAUAUGUUUUUUAUUUCGUUGUCUGUGCGGCCCGGUAAUCUAGAUGCAAUCACAGACCAUCUGCAUAUAAUUAAACAUUGAUUUUAGAUGAAAAUUAAUUAGUAAAGACUAGAGAGAGUGAAAAGAACGAACCUAUUUCCCAAUUCUUGAUGCAAAUUGAUGAUGAUGGCCUCCUCUUCGCGACUGAAAUUUCCUCUCUUAAUAUCGGGCCGCAAGUAAUUCAUCCAACGCAGGCGGCAGCUCUUUCCACACCUCAAAAGCCCUGUUUGUUUGUUUAGAAAUACAAAAACGUUAACUUAAUUAAUUAAUUAAUCUGGAUUGAAAAUACAUGUAUAUGUAUAGAAGGUGGUACCGGCCCGUUUGGGAAGGGCCCGCCAGUUGCCAUGGCCGUUGUGGUUGAUGAAAUUGAUGAGGAUGAGAUCUUCUUCUGCAGUCCACGGGCCCUUCUUCAACCCCAUUUUCUCACAGCAAGGAGCCCGCCCCAUAACUACUUAAUCCCACCUUCUUCUUCUUCUUCUUCUUCUUCUCUUCUUCUCUUUAUAUAUUUUUUUCGAGAAAAAGAGUUAAUUCUCACUUGUGCUGUAUUGGGAGGGUUUGUGAAUUCUUGAAUAAAUGGUUNGUGCGAUCCAGGGAUGAUAGCCUUGCAUGUAAUCAACGGUUUAUAUGUCACGGGAGUGGGUAGACUAGCUUAGAGAUUGCCUCAGGAAUCAUCUUAUUGAUUGAAUUGAACGUGUUAGUUAGGAGAAUCUGUUGAAACCUUUGCCUUGAGUAAAUUUUCUCUUUUCUGUUACUCCGCAUUCUCAUAGCUUGAUUUCUUUCUUUUCUAGUGUUUAUUUAUUUAUUUUGUUUUCAAAAUUCAAAACUCUUAUUAUCGUUUGUCCAGAUAGAGUAGAAUAAUUUAGGAUAGACAUUGAUAAUAAUUAGUCUCUGUGGAUCGACCUUGUAACUGCUAUACACAAUUGCACCCGUAUACUUACGGCGUGUUAAAUAAAAUAAACGAACAAGUUUUUCAUUAUGAUCGAACCGCGUAAAUCCUUGCGUUAUUUUUCUAUUUUUUAAUUAUUUUGCUGCUAAGAUUUAAACCCGGCACAACAAUAUGUAUUUAGUUAUUCUUAUGCAAUACUCAUUGAAUUUAAAAUUAUAUUCAUUAAGUUGAUAAUAUUGUUAUUAUACACUAUUUUAAAUUAAAUAGUAAUAUUUAAAUUAACAUAUUUUUUUUUCGUUAUCAAUUAGUAUGACAUUUUGAUAUUUUACUAUAAUUUAAAAUAUUAAAAUAAAUAAAUAUAUUGUGGCCCGUGCAUAGCGCGAGAGGGCAUACUAAUUUUCAUCAUUAAAUGUCAAUGUUAUUUAACAUAUAUAUAUACUAACUAAGGUUUAAGUAGAUGCUAUUAAAUUAAAAAAAUAAAAAAAAAUACGUAGUUUGAAUUUCAUAUUUCCUACUUAUGAAUAAUUCAUCAUAUAUAUUCAUUUUACUAAUAUAUAAAUUCAGUUCUUAAUUCAUUGCAAAAAGAGUAAUCACCGGGCAUCAAUUAUGUGCUAGAUACUCAGUCAUGCAAGAGAAAUAAAUAAAUUAAUAGGACGCCUUUAAUUUAAGUGAUAAAUAAAGUAUGAUUGGAAAAAAUAAUUAAGAGUGUUGAUUUACAUGAUUCAAUCUGUAAUGAAUAACUUGAUCGCUCUAAUUAUCUAAUUAAAUAAUUAUUUAUCACACUAAAAUUAAACAAAUUAUCUAAUCAUUAGUCAGUUCUAUUAAUUAAUUUUUUUUUAUCUCUUCUCAAACUCUCCACAAAGGAUAAAUUGGAUCCAAUCGCAGUUAUAUUAUAAAAUUCAGCAAGUCCCUAUUCCCUAAAGCUUGCAAGCACGUUUAUACUGUCACAGGGAAGAGUUAAGCUAUAAUUUACGACCUCAUGAAUUUGAUCUAUGUGGCAUAUGUAUGCAUGAAUUCUUUGUGAACAUAUAUGUAUUUAAAAAUUAAAAAUUUCACUUUCUUUCUAUAUCCACGAAUUCAUUUAAUAAAGUGAUGAAUUCACCUUAAAUUUUUAUGAUCUAAAAAUUAAACUGAUUCCUAAUUUAUAUUUAAUUUAAAUUAAAUAUUAUUUUUAACCCAUCACUAUUUUGAGAAUUUAAAUUUUAUUUUAUAAAAAAAGCUUUAAACUGUUCCCCAUCAAUUUUGUUAGCUCCCGUCCCUCUACUACACAGACCGGUAGACAAGCUUGCGUCGUCGCUGCUACCCCCAAACGAGCAUUGUCUCCGCAUGCAUCCGACACCCACUACUUGCAUCAUCAAUUUUCAAAAUCUUCAACUAUAAUUAUGUUUGUUCAUAAUUUAAUUUGUUUAUUUAGUUUUUCAUGUUAUCAUUUUUAAUAUAUCCAGGUUUUUCAUUUGUUAUUUUCUAAUUUCAUUUUGAGUUAUUUUUAUUAUAAUUUCGUUAAAAGUAUAAUAGUCGAAUUAUGUAAAAAAUAAUUAAAAUGAAUAUACAUUUAUUUUUAUAAGUAUCAUUAUUUAAAAAACACGAUUAUUUAAAGCUAUAUAUUAACACUCUUUUUUCCUUCCAAAUUUCCUACAAUAAAUACGAGCAUGACAAAGGAAAACCUAAAAGCUAAAACAAAAAACUUUGGUAUAAUCAAAAAUCAGGUAAGUCUAGAAUGUCGUCGGCCCUAUUAAAUAGGUUGUACCAAAAAUCCAUGCCUCCAUCCUCAUUUACAGAUUCCGACAAGCGAAGCGGAGAAUCGGUGACGAAAUCAUCCCCGGACAAAACCUCCGACCAGAAGCUGUCGUCCAUCUCCGGCGGAUUCUCCGACGACACUUCACUAAACGAAUGCAUCGGGGAAUUGGUUGCAUCCUCAUCCGAUGUGGACUCGUUGCGGGCUUCGGGCUCGGCCCGAGAUCUCUACAAAGCCUUUUCUCAAGUGUGUGUGCCAUAUGUUUUUUAUUUCGUUGUCUGUGCGGCCCGGUAAUCUAGAUGCAAUCACAGACCAUCUGCAUAUAAUUAAACAUUGAUUUUAGAUGAAAAUUAAUUAGUAAAGACUAGAGAGAGUGAAAAGAACGAACCUAUUUCCCAAUUCUUGAUGCAAAUUGAUGAUGAUGGCCUCCUCUUCGCGACUGAAAUUUCCUCUCUUAAUAUCGGGCCGCAAGUAAUUCAUCCAACGCAGGCGGCAGCUCUUUCCACACCUCAAAAAGCCCUGUUUGUUUGUUUAGAAAUACAAAAACGUUAACUUAAUUAAUUAAUUAAUCUGGAUUGAAAAUACAUGUAUAUGUAUAGAAGGUGGUACCGGCCCGUUUGGGAAGGGCCCGCCAGUUGCCAUGGCCGUUGUGGUUGAUGAAAUUGAUGAGGAUGAGAUCUUCUUCUGCAGUCCACGGGCCCUUCUUCAACCCCAUUUUCUCACAGCAAGGAGCCCGCCCAUAACUACUUAAUCCCACCUUCUUCUUCUUCUUC